UUACCGGAGGUAUAAAAACCCUGUGUGUCCCCGGAGACUCCAGUCCAGUGGGUUCUGAAGACAAGGGCAACAUUAAAGAAGUACCAAACUUACAAGGCUACGAGAUGACGAUCUGGCAACUGCCUUCCAUGCUCCUUGUUGUUAUAUCAAGUGUCUCUUCUCAUCCUCAUCACUUAUUUGAGUAUGAUGAGCUGAGCCAGUAUGUUGACAGCCAUCAGGAGGAAUAUGUACAGACUCUGAGGGACUGGGUUGCUGUAGAGAGCGACUCCAGUGAUGUCUUGAGGAGGCCAGACUGCCAUCGCAUGAUGGAUAUGACGGCUGAGAAACUACAAGCCAUGGGAGGGAAGGUGGAACUAGUGGACAUCGGCGUACAAGAGCUGCCUGAUGGCAAGACAGUGGCCUUACCCAAGGUGGUGACAGCCCAGUUUGGCAGUGACCCCAGUAAGCAUACAGUCUGUGUGUACGGACAUGUGGAUGUCCAGCCUGCUAAGCUAGAGGACGGCUGGGCCACUGAACCCUACAACCUGACAGACAUCAACGGAAACCUCUACGGCAGAGGGGCAUCUGACAACAAGGCCCCUGUCUUAGCCUGGAUCCAUACAGUGGAGGUCUAUCAGGCCCUCAGCAUUGACCUGCCAGUCAAUGUGAAGUUCGUCAUCGAGGGGAUGGAGGAGACCGGGUCCAAUGGCCUGGACGCCAUGAUCGUGGCGCAGAGAGACACGUUCUUCUCCGACGUCGAUUACAUCAUCAUCUCAGACUGUGGUUGGCUGAGCCGACGCCCCGCCCUCACCUACGGGACCAGGGGGAACUGCUACUUCUUUGCUGAGGUAGAGGGCCCAAAACAGGACCUACACUCAGGGGUGUAUGGAGGCACUGUUAUAGAGCCUAUGACAGAUCUGAUCGGCAUAUUGGACACACUGAUCAGCCCCAGUGGAAAGAUCCUCAUUCCAGGCAUCAGAGAGGCCGUCGCCUCACUAUCAGACGAAGAGUGGAAGAUGUACCAGGACAUUGAGUUUGACAUUGAGAGCUUUAAGUCCAAGAUUGGCGUCAGCCAACUCAUGUACAGCAACAAGGUAGAUCUGCUGGCCCAUCGUUGGCGUUACCCUACCGUUACCAUCCACGGCAUCGAGGGGGGCUUCUCUGGCCCUGGCUCCAAGACGGUCAUCCCUGCUAAGGUCAUUGCCAAGUUCUCCAUUCGACAGGUCCCCAACAUGGACCCAGCAGUGGUCAAGAAACAGGUAGGUGGUACACGCCUCUCACCCAGUGCAUUGUACAGUUGCAUGACAACACAAUUACAUGCAGUUACACACAUUUCUGGAAUUGUUCUAACCUUCAGAUUCUCUUUAUACAAUACAUCCAAGAUCAGGAAACAUUCAUCCAGGUUACACUAUUAUAAUGUACCUCAUUCUGCUCAUUCAGUUCAUUUACUAUUCAGUUAUUCACUAUUUCAGUUUGGUUUCAGUUAAUGAAAUAGACGUGAAGACUGCAUGUAUGCCUGUUACAUAUUUGUUCUGUUGUAAGUCACAGACUACCUGAACUCUGUGUUUGCCAAGAGAAAGAGCCCCAACAAGCUGAAGGUGACCAUGAUCAUCGGGGCUAAGCCCUGGUUAGCAGACACCAAGCACCCCCUGUACGAGGCAGGGAAAGCAGCCGUGGAGAGUGUUUAACGUGGAGCCAGACCUGAUCCGUGAAGGGGGAACCAUCCCCAUCGCUAAGACCUUUGAGGACGUGACCGGUAAGAGCAUCAUCAUGAUGCCCAUCGGAGGCUUCGAUGACGGCCUCCACUCCCAGAACGAGAAGAUGAGCAGGUACAACUACAUAGAGGGGACCAAGUUGUUCAUCGCGUACCUCCAUGAAGUGGCCCAUCUCAAGAAGGACUGAGAGCACCUCUUUUCAUCACCACUGUUGAAAGACAGUUCUAUAAUGUUUAGCUUGUAUGUGAUCCCAUCAGGGGAGUCUGGCUUAAUAACCUUUCUUGUUUCUUUCCCUCUAAGCAAAACAUUCCAGAAACCCUGUGAGUUCUUGGCAUCUGAUAUAGCCUCAACACUCUGCCUCUCUCUCUUUCUGAAUCUUUCUUCCUCCCUCACGUUCCUCCUUUCUCUCUCUCUCAAUGUCUCUCUCUCUCAAUUUCUCUCUCAUUCACAUACAAAUAUCUACUUGAUACAGCAAAUAAAACUGGUUUGACGCACUA